AGAUUGAACGCUGGCGGCAGGCCUAACACAUGCAAGUCGAGCGGCAGCACGGGUACUUGUACCUGGUGGCGAGCGGCGGACGGGUGAGUAAUGCCUAGGAAUCUGCCUGGUAGUGGGGGAUAACGCUCGGAAACGGACGCUAAUACCGCAUACGUCCUACGGGAGAAAGCAGGGGACCUUCGGGCCUUGCGCUAUUAGAUGAGCCUAGGUCGGAUUAGCUAGUUGGUGAGGUAUGGCUCACCAAGGCACGAUCCGUAACUGGUCUGAGAGGAU
rnacentral:rRNA from 1 species